rnacentral:rRNA from 1 species
AAGCGAGCCUGCGAGGGGGAGCGAAUCCCAAAAAUAACGUCCCAGUUCGGAUUGUAGUCUGCAACCCGACUACAUGAAGCUGGAAUCGCUAGUAAUCGCGGAUCAGAAUGCCGCGGUGAAUACGUUCCCGGGUCUUGUACACACCGCCCGUCACACCAUGGGAGCCGGAAAUGCCCGAAGUCAGUGGCCUAACCGAGAGGGAGGAGCUGCCGAAGGCAGGUCUGGUAACUGGGGUGAAGUCGUAACAAGGUAUC